rnacentral:rRNA from 1 species
AUUGAACGCUGGCGGCAUGCUUUACACAUGCAAGUCGAACGGUAACAGGCCUUCGGGUGCUGACGAGUGGCGAACGGGUGAGUAAUGCAUCGGAACGUACCCAGAGGUGGGGGAUAACGCAGCGAAAGCUGUGCUAAUACCGCAUGUGAUCUGAGGAUGAAAGCGGGGGACCGAGCAGCAAUGUUUGGCCUCGCGCCUUUGGAGCGGCCGAUGUCGGAUUAGCUAGUUGGUGGGGUAAAGGCCUACCAAGGCGACGAUCCGUAGCUCGUCUGAGAGGACGACCAGCCACACUGGGACUGAGACACGGCCCAGACUCCUACGGGAGGCAGCAGUGGGGAAUUUUGGACAAUGGGCGCAAGCCUGAUCCAGCAAUGCCGCGUGCGGGAAGAAGGCCUUCGGGUUGUAAACCGCUUUUGGCAGGAACGAAACGGUGUCCGCUAAUACCGGGCGCUAAUGACGGUACCUGCAGAAUAAGCACCGGCUAACUACGUG